UACGGAGGGUGCAAGCGUUAUCCGGAUUCACUGGGGUUAAAGGGAGCGCAGGCGGAUUAGUAAGUCAGUGGUGAAAGCCUUAAGCUUAACUUGGGAACUGCCAUUGAUACUAUUAGUCUUGAAUGUUGUUGAGGUUUGCGGAAUGGGUCAUGUAGCGGUGAAAUGCAUAGAUAUGACCCGGAACACCUAUUGCGAAGGCAGCAGGCUAAACAAAUAUUGACGCUGAGGCUCGAAAGCGUGGGGAUCAAACAGG
rnacentral:rRNA from 1 species